CAUUUAAUAUUUGAAAAUUUUAAGCCGAUAUGACCUCAAUAUAAGGUCAGAUCGACCAGUGAGACGGUGGGGGAUAAGCUUCAUCGUCGAGAGGGAAACAGCCCAGAUCACCAGCUAAGACCCCUAAAUGACCGCUCAGUGAUAAAGGAGGUAGGGGUGCAGAGACAGCCAGGAGGUUUGCCUAGAAGCAGCCACCCCUGGAAGAGUGCAUAAUAGCUCACUGAUUGAGCGCUCUUAAGCCGAAGAGGAAAAUGUUGUAUCCUCACAAAUUCAAGGAUAUGAAGUGAGUUGAGGCAACCACGAGAGGGCACAUACAUCAUAAGUCCAUGAUGAUUUAAUUAAAAACCCAAAUUUACUAUAAAGGUG
rnacentral:ncRNA from 1 species